UACAGAGGUCUCAAGCGUUGUUCGGAUUCAUUGGGCGUAAAGGGUGCGUAGGUGGCGCCAUAAGUCAGGUGUGAAAUCUCGGGGCUUAACUCCGAAACUGCAUUUGAUACUGUGGUGCUUGAGGACUGGAGAGGAAACUGGAAUUCACGGUGUAGCAGUGAAAUGCGUAGAUAUCGUGAGGAAGACCAGUGGCGAAGGCGGGUCUCUGGACAGUUCCUGACACUGAGGCACGAAGGCCAGGGGAGCAAACGGG
rnacentral:rRNA from 1 species